rnacentral:rRNA from 1 species
CACCGCCCGUCACACCAUGGAAGUUGAUUGCACCAGAAGUAGGUAGCCUAACCGCAAGGAGGGCGCUUACCACGGUGUGCUCAAUGACUGGGGUGAAGUCGUAACAAGGUACCC